rnacentral:rRNA from 1 species
CACGUAGGGACCAAGCGUUGUCCGGAUUUAUUGGGCGUAAAGCGCUCGUAGGCGGUUCGGUAAGUCUGGUGUGAAACCCCUGGGCUCAACCCGGGGACGCCACCCGAUACUGCUGUGACUCGAGUUCGGUAGGGGAGCGGGGAAUUCCUGGUGUAGCGGUGAAAUGCGCAGAUAUCAGGAGGAACACCGGUGGCGAAGGCGCCGCUCUGGGCCGAUACUGACGCUGAGGAGCGAAAGCGUGGGGAGCAAACAGG